AUUGCUUCUCAGCCUUUUAGACAAAGUUAAGAGCAGAAUCUAAUCUAAUCAGUUAAUUAUCUGAUACACUUUUUAUUUGGAAAAAAUAUGUGAUCUUGAUAUAUGGAAUAGGGAGACGUAAUAAAGCCUUGUGCUGUCCACUCCACUCAUCAACUUGAAAUUGCACGGCGUACAGGAAUUAUGAUCCCCCC